GACGAACGCUGGCGGCGUGCCUAAUACAUGCAAGUCGAACGCAGUGGGGACGGGUGAGUAACACGUGGGUAACCUCCCAUCAGAGGGGAUAACACUUGGAAACAGGUGCUAAACCGAUACUGAUGGAUGGACCCGCGGUGCAUUAGCGAGUGGGUGAGGUAACGGCUCACCAAGGCCACGAUGCAUAGUCGACCUGAGAGUGGUAUCGGCCAAACUGGGACGUAGACGCGGCCCAGACUCCUACGGGAGGCAGCAGUAGGGAAUCUUCGUCAAUGGACGAAAGUCUGACCGAGCAACGCAGCGUAGGUGAAGAAGGUUUUCGGAUCGUAAAACUCUGUUGUUAGAGAAGCGGUAUCUAACCAGAAAGCCACGGCUAACUACGUGCCAGCAGCCGCGGUAAUUC
rnacentral:rRNA from 1 species